AACUAUUUGACUGACAGGAAAGUACAUGUUUUGAAAACAUGGUAUAAAAGUUCGAAUCCUUUAAUAGUUU
rnacentral:tRNA from 1 species